CAGGAAAAAAACAUCCUUCCAUCUGCAAGCAGAGCUUAUUGAUAGGAGCAGGGAUUUUGUCUGACAGGGAUGGCAGAGCCCCAUUACAUGGUACAGAGGGUGGCUGGCUUCCAGGCAGUGUCUGGAGGGAUUUGGUCAUGGAUGCUGCCAAAUGUGGGUCACAUCCCAUGUUUUUCUCCACAGAAUUUAUCGUCUGAAUAGACUUUGUCAAGAGAUCUUUCUUAGGGUAGAGUGCACCUGGACUGGAAAGAUGAAACAGCAAGAAUUGCCUUUUUUGUUGUGAGUUAUACUCAAACA